rnacentral:rRNA from 1 species
GAUAAACGCUGGCGGCGCACAUAAGACAUGCAAGUCGAACGGACUUAACUCAUUCUUUUAGAUUGAGAGCGGUUAGUGGCGGACUGGUGAGUAACACGUAAGCAACCUGCCUAUUAGAGGGGAAUAACAGUGAGAAAUCAUUGCUAAUACCGCAUAACACAACGAGACCGCAUGAUCUUGUUGUCAAAGCUUUAUGUGCUGGAAGAUGGCCUCGCGUCUGAUUAGCUAGUUGGUGGGGUAACGGCCUACCAAGGCGACGAUCAGUAGCCGGACUGAGAGGUUGAACGGCCACAUUGGGACUGAGAUACGGCCCAG